GACCACGGAAAGUGUCAGCGGGGCUGAGCCCAACCCGUUCCAGGAAUUAGAAUGCGUGUCCGACGCUUAUAAGUUUAUUCCAACCCGCGCGUCCCCGAGGGGCCAGUGCACUCUCCAGAGGUGGGCAAUUUGAGGCUGGGACUGGCGAUGAACGCCGCAGCCCCUUUGGAAACCAAAUUCGGAGCCAAGAAAGCCGCAGACCUGCCUGCAGGUCGCAGAGAAUUCUGGCCCUGCCAUGAGUGCUUUCCCCACCCGGGAGGAGUGGCAUCGGCGUUCAAGGCGGCUUUCACCUUAGCAACGCAGUGUACCUCGGCCCAGGGCCCUACCCUUGAGGAAACCGCACGUUCUGAAUUCUGCAUGGGCGAACGUUGGCCCAGAGAAGUCAGGGAAUUUGAGGCAACGUUCCCAGCCGACCUGCUGUCUCCCCAUGUUCUGUUCACUGCCUUGUUCACAGGAGUACCACAAAAGUGAUGCAGAAUUCUUGUCAGUGUAUCCUAUCAGGAGACUGUUCGUGUUCAUUAGUCCCAUUCUGGCUCUGUCAACUUCGACUGCUUAAUCAAGGUAUGGUGUAAGAGGAUGCAAAAUGAAAAUCCAAGACCUUCACCACUCUGAGAGGUAAUGAGGCCCUAUCCAACCUAACAAUAUCAGAGAAGACAGCAUGAAGAGCAGAAACAAGGCCCUUCAAGUUAUCAUCAACUGUGGUAUCUGACUCCUCACUACCACUCUUCAAUCUGCUGUAAGUGUCAACUGGUGCCCAGAGACUCUACUCCCAGAAGCCAUUACUGAAACCUCAGAUUCACUGAUUUCCAUGCCUUGCUGCCCAUGAGCCCUGCAUCCCUCAUCCUACAAUACGUGAUCACAGAGUCUUCAAUUCCUCUACCCUAAUGGUCCUCGCUCUUUACCAAUCAAUCCCACGUCCCCAUGACUGGCCUCUAUGCCUGUAUGACUACCCAUCAUGCAUCUCCAUCAGCCAUCCCAAGAGUCCCAAUCCUAGGCACACCUGUACCUGCAUUGGGGCCUUAUCACACAAACACAUCUCCCACCACUGACACAACUAGGCUAUAAACUCCUCCACAUACACAAACAGGAACUCAAUCAAUGAACAAAUCAGGGGAAAUUCUUGAAUGUAUAGAAUAAAUUUAUAAAUAGAAAACACUUCUAAAUCUAAUUGUGAAGAACCAGACUAUUUACAGAGGAAGAAUGAAGGAAAUAAGAAAACUCUUCAUCUGCAGUACUGAAAGCUAAAUGAUGUUGGAAAUAGCAUCUAAAAGACCACUCCUCUGUCAGGGCCAGAGAGACAUUUUCAGAAAUAAAAACACUUGCAGAGUAUCUCUGUCUUUGAGAGAAAUACUGAAAGAAGUAGUCCAAAUAAAUGUAAAAUGAAUCACACAAUAAAUCUUGAAUAGGAAAAUAUUGUUUAGCAAUAAUUCUUGCAAAAGAUAUAUAAUUAUAAAAAAGGACAAUGUGACAAUGUGAUAAAGAGGCCACUAAAGAGAAAAUAAUACCCUACGAUAAUACAUUCCUAAUAAUCUCAGGAAAAAAACGGAAAAAAUGGGAUGCAGAAUGGAAACAAUGAGCAGAAAUUUCAUCAAUCCAAUGAAAAUAUUAUGUAAAGAAAAAGCAGAAAAUAAAAAGAGCUAAAUAGUAAACAUCAAAUGGAAGGCAUAAAAUCAGAUAAAUCAUUAUUACAUUAAACUGAGAUGUAAAAUUCUAUCAAUAGAGACUGUAAAUUGGAUUUGAAAAAAAUAAAAGUAUCUAUUGUAAACAAAUAGGUAAUCUGACGCAGAGACAAAUAUGGAUAUAAAAUAAAGCUCUGGGCAAAGACACAUCAUCCAAAUGCAAUAAAAGUAAAAACAAGGGUGGCAAUGUGAGUAUCAAAGUGGAAUUCGAUGUUAAAAAGUGUUUU